rnacentral:lncRNA from 8 species
AUGGGGAAAAUUCUUGGGAAACUUGGACCUUCUCUACUGUGUCAUUGCUCACUGAUUGGGACGUUUCUUGGGAAACAUGUACCUUCUCUAAUGUGUCGUUGCCCACUGAUGGGGAAAUUUCUUGGGAAACUUGGACCUUCUCUACUGUGUCUUUACUCACUGAUAGGGAAGUUUCUUGGGAAACUUGGACCUCAUCUACGGUGUCUUUGCCCAAUGAUGGGGAAGUUUCCUGGGAAACUUGAACCUUCUCUACUGUGUAUUUGCCUACUGAUAGGGGAGAUUGUUUGGAGACUUGGACCUUCUCUACUGUGUCUUUGCCUACUGAUAGGGGAGAUUGUUUGGAGACUUGGACCUUCUCUACUGUGUCAUUGCUCACUGAUGGGGAAGUUUCUUGGGAAACUUGGACCUUCUCUACUGUGUCUUUGCUCACUGAUGGGAAAGUUUCUUGGGAAACUUGGACCUCAUCUACGGUGUCUUUGCCCACUGAUGGGGAAGUUUCUUGGGACACUUGGAUCUUUUCUACUGUGUCUUUGCCCAAUGAUGGGGAAGUUUCCUGGGAAACUUGAAACUUCUCUACUGUGUAUUUACCCACUGAUGGGAAAGUUUCUUGGGAAACUUGGACCUUCUCUACUGUGUCUUUGCCCACUGAUAGGGGAGAUUGUUUGGAGACUUGGACCUUCUCUACUGUGUCUUUGCCCACUGAUGGGAAAGUUUCUUGGGAAACUUGGACCUUCUCUACCGUGUAUUUGCCCACUGAUGGGGAAGAUUCUUGGGAAACUUGGAUCUUCUCUACUGUGUCUUUGCUCACUGACGGGGAAGUUUCUUGAUAAACUUGGACUUUCUCUACUGUGUCUUUGCCCACUGAUAGGGGAGAUUCUUGGGAGACUUGGACCUUCUCUACUGUGUCUUUGCUCACUGAUUGGAAAGUUUCUUGGGAAACUUGGAUCUUCUCUACUGUGUCUUUGCCCACUGAUGGGGAUGUUUCUUGGGAAACUUGGAUCUUCUCUACUGUGUCUUUGCUCACAGAUGGGAAGGUUUCUUGGGAAACUUGAACCUUCUCUACUGUGUAUUUGCCCACUGAUGGGGAAGUUUCUUGGGAAACUUGGGCUUUCUCUACUGUGUCUUUGCCCACUGAUAGGGGAGAUUCUUGGGAGACUUGGACCUUCUCUACUGUGUCUUUGCCCACUGAUGGGGAAGUUUCUUGGGAAGACUUGGACUUUCUCUACUGUGUCUUUGCCCACUGAUAGGGGAGAUUCUUGGGAGACUUGGACCUUCUCUACUGUGUCUUUGCCCACUGAUGGGAAAGUUUCUUGGGAAACUUGUACCUUCUCUACCGUGUAUUUGCCCACUGAUGGGGAAGAUUCUUGGGAAACUUGGACCUUCUCUACUGUGUCUUUGCUCACUGACGGGGAAGUUUCUUGGGAAACUUGGACUUUCUCUACUGUGUCUUUGCCCACUGAUAGGGAAGAUUCUUGGGAGACUUGGACCUUCUCCACUGUGUCUUUGCUCACUGAUGGGAAAGUUUCUUGGGAAACUUGGACCUUCUCUACUGUGUCUUUGCCCACUGAUGGCGAUGUUUCUUGGGAAACUUGGACCUUGUCUACUGUGUCUUUGCUCACUGAUGGGGAAAUUUCUAGGAAUAAUUGGACCUUCUCUACUGUGUCUUUGCUCACUGACGGGGAAGUCUCUUGGGAAACUUGGACCUUCUCUACUGUGUCUUUGCCCACUGAUGGGGAAGUUUCUUGGGAAACUUGGACUUUCUCUACUGUGUGUUUGCCCACUGAUAGGGACGAUUCUUGGAAUACUUUGACCUUCUCUACUGUGUCUUUGCUCGCUGAUGGGGAAUUUUCUUGGGAAACUUGGACCUUCUCUACUGUGUCUUUGCUCACUGAUGGGGGAAAUUCUUUGGAAACUUGGACCUUCUCUACUGUGUCUUUGCCCACUGAUAGGGACGAUUCUUGGAAUACUUUGACCUUCUCUACUGUGUCUUUGCUCGCUGAUGGGGAAUUUUCUUGGGAAACUUGGACCUUCUCUACUGUGUCUUUGCUCACUGAUGGGGGAAAUUCUUUGGAAACUUGGACCUUCUCUACUGUGUCUUUGCCCACUGAUAGGAAAAAUUCUUGGAAAACUUGA